rnacentral:piRNA from 1 species
UACAAUGGGGUGGAUGUUUUCCA